rnacentral:tRNA from 1 species
ACCAUUGUCGUCCAGUGGUUUAGGAUGCCAGGUUUUCAAACAAUACGUUGAUCCCCUGGAGACCGGGGUUCGAACCCCCGCAAUGGUA